rnacentral:rRNA from 1 species
UACGAAGGGGGCUAGCGUUGCUCGGAAUCACUGGGCGUAAAGGGUGCGUAGGCGGGUCUUUAAGUCAGGGGUGAAAUCCUGGAGCUCAACUCCAGAACUGCCUUUGAUACUGGCGAUCUUGAGUCCGGGAGAGGUGAGUGGAACUGCGAGUGUAGAGGUGAAAUUCGUAGAUAUUAGGAAGAACACCAGUGGCGAAGGCGGCUCACUGGUCCGGUACUGACGCUGAGGCACGAAAGCGUGGGGAGCAAACAGG